rnacentral:rRNA from 1 species
GCUAAUACCGCAUAGGACCACGUUGUCGCAUGGCACUGAGGUGAAAGGAGCAAUCCGCUUUCAGGUGAGUUCGCGUCCCAUUAGAUGGUUGGUGGGGUAAUGGCCUACCAAGUCAACGAUGGGUAGCCGAUCUGAGAGGAUGACCGGCCACACUGGAACUGAGAAACGGUCCAGACUCCUACGGGAGGCAGCAGUGGGGAAUAUUGGGCAAUGGGCGAAAGCCUGACCCAGCAACGCCGCGUGAGGGAAGAAGGCUUUCGGGUCGUAAACCUCUGUCGCAGGGGACGAGAAGAAGACGGUACCCUGCAAGGAAGCCCCGGCUAACUACGUGCCAGCAGCCGCGGUAAUACGUAGGGGGCAAGCGUUGUCCGGAAUGACUGGGCGUAAAGGGCGCGUAGGCGGCCUGGUAAGUUUGGAGUGAAAGUCCCGGUUUCAAGCUGGGAAUUGCUUUGAAAAACUGCUUGGCUAGAGUAUGGGAGAGGAUAGCGGAAUUCCCGGUGUAGCGGUGAAAUGCGUAGAGAU